UGAACGCUGGCGGCGUGCUUAACACAUGCAAGUCGCACGAGAACGCUUCAGCUUGCUGAAGUUAGUAAAGUGGCGCACGGGUGAGUAACGCGUGGGUAAUCUACCCUCGAAUUGGGGAUAACAUCGCGAAAGUGAUGCUAAUACCGAAUAAUAUCUUAAAAACCUCGGUUUUAAAGAUCAAAGGAGGCCUCUACUUGUAAGCUUCUGUUUGAGGAUGAGCCCGCGUACCAUUAGCUUGUUGGUAGGGUAAUGGCCUACCAAGGCUACGAUGGUUAGCUGGUCUGAGAGGAUGAUCAGCCACACUGGAACUGACACACGGUCCAGACUCCUACGGGAGGCAGCAGUGAGGAAUUUUGCGCAAUGGGGGAAACCCUGACGCAGCAACGCCGCGUGAGUGAUGAAGGCUUUCGGGUCGUAAAGCUCUGUCAAGUGGGAAGAACCCACAUGGUGUUAAUACCACCAUGUGUUGACGGUACCACUGAAGGAAGCACCGGCUAACUCC
rnacentral:rRNA from 1 species